AUUGAACGCUGGCGGAAUGCUUUACACAUGCAAGUCGAACGGCAGCACGGACUUCGGUCUGGUGGCGAGUGGCGAACGGGUGAGUAAUACAUCGGAACGUGCCCAAUCGUGGGGGAUAACGUAGCGAAAGCUACGCUAAUACCGCAUACGAUCUAAGGAUGAAAGCGGGGGAUCGCAAGACCUCGCGCGAAUGGAGCGGCCGAUGGCAGAUUAGGUAGUUGGUAGGGUAAAGGCCUACCAAGCCGACGAUCUGUAGCUGGUCUGAGAGGAUGAUCAGCCACACUGGGACUGAGACACGGCCCAGACUCCUACGGGAGGCAGCAGUGGGGAAUUUUGGACAAUGGACGCAAGUCUGAUCCAGCCAUUCCGCGUGCAGGAUGAAGGCCCUCGGGUUGUAAACUGCUUUUGUACAGAACGAAAAGGCUCUGGUUAAUACCUGGGGCUCAUGACGGUACUGUAAGAAUAAGCACCGGCUAACUACGUGCCAGCCGCCGCCGUAA
rnacentral:rRNA from 1 species